GAUAUGGGUGACAGUGGCUGAACAUGAGCCAGCAGUGAGCCCAGGUGACCAAGAAGGGCAAUGGCAUCCUGGCCUGUAUCAGCAAUAGUGUGGCCAGCAGGACCCGGGCAGUGAUUUUCCCCCUGUACUCGGCGCUAGUGAGGCCACACCUCGAAUGCU